GCUAUCAUUACUGCAGUGUUAACAUUGUAAUCUUCUCAGGUAUUUAAUUACUUUCCCAAAGGCAUCUAUAAAUUAACUUCCUAAGCAGCGUGCCAUCUGAGACAUUAAAAUAUAACUUUUAAUUUGGAAAGGUUGCUGAAAAAUAAUUCAUUCUUGUGGUUGGAUUUCUUAUUUUAGUCUGUUACCCCAGCCUGUCAAAAACCAACCUCUCUUUAUCUUUAAUCUGUAUUAGCCACAGAGGUGUGAAUUGGAAGAAACGCGCCACUUACUCGGGCUAAUAUAUAUUUUGUGUCUACGAGCACAAUAUUUCAAAAUAAUGCAUAGGUAGUUUUUAGCAGUGGUUACAGGUGUAAAAGCUCAGUUGCAAAUGGCAUAUGCUAGUUUCGUUUCACUGCACUAAUGCUUUAAUUGAGAAGAAACUAUGUUUUCAUGAAGUCUGUCAUUAAGACAGGUUUUGUAGUGUAGAGGUUCACAAACUCUCUUGGGGUGUUGUUUCUUUGAGGUAUAGGAUGUCUUUGAGCUUCACACAGUACACUGCUAAUGCACGAAGGUUGGAAAUAAUGCACCUUUCUUUGACAGAUCAGGGGUUAGUUUGGGUCUCAUAAUCUGCCUGUUCUAUCUGGGGAUAUACUCACAGCUUUGUAGUACAGCAGCUGUUCUGCCUUUUGGGCAGUCGGUUCUUGGAUUUGCCGAUUCAGGAAAUCCCGUCCACUGAGAGCAUGCUGCUAUGUUUUCAUAAUGUUACUUCAAAGCCUUGUUCUCAGAUGUUUAAGUAGUAAGAUGCCAUAUCAUGAUGACUACUUUUUGCACAGCUGAGUAGUCAAGUUUGGAUUUGUAUCUGGGCAUGUGUAUUUUAUUAGCAAAGAAUGUGGGCUUUAGAAUCAUGUGACUCUGAAGCAUCUUCUUUUAAAAGAUUUAUUUUGCUAAGCUAAUGAGAUACCAAAGGACCAAAUUUAAGCAAAUUUAUUACAAUGUGGGAGACAGGGACAGAUGGGAUGGAAAGAAAGGAAUCAAGUGCCUGUGAUGAAAUAUAAUAGCUUUUUGGUGUAAGUGAGAGAUGAGUAGUAACAACAGCAGUAACUACAGAUGACAGCAAAGUCAUGGUUUUGGGGAAAGUAGUUUCCUAGUAGUAUUCAACUUGGUGCUCAUUUGGCUGAGAAUAUUUUUGAACUUCAUAGGACAAACCAAAGCUGAAUUUCUGUUUUGCAUCUUCAACUAGCUGAGAACUCUUGCAAACACCCAAAGGAGAAAUACUGACUCUUCCUAAUGGUACAUCAAUAUUGAAAUGGUCAGAAAUGAGGCCAGUUGGGUUCAGUGGUGGUUCUUUCUGCCCUCUGCUUCAACUGCUCAUAGAAGACCAUUCCGGAAGAGGGAGUGCCAUUGGGUGGCAUGUUCAGUGUGGGAUUGAAGUGCUUUGGUGAGGGAAUGUUGCCAUAUGUGAAAUGGCCCUUAAGUGCUGUAACAAAAACUUUAUUGCUAUUCUUCUAUCCUCUCUAUGAGAAAAUGAGUUAACUUUAGGUGUAUCCAGAAUUUUCCAGAAAACCAGUAUAUAUAUAUAAAAAGAUACAGGAGAUAAGUGGCAAGAUAAGGCUGUUAGAUGCAGUUGCUUAAGGCAUAACAGCUUCUUUUCCAUAUUUGUUCUAGGAAGGUGUGGGACCCAUUUGAGCUCUUGGGGUUAAUUCUUAAUGACUGGCAAGUCUUCCAAAGUCCAGUUAGCCAAAUCCUCAGUUAGCACUUGUGUCCAUUUUUUUAAUGAGAAACCCUGCGAAUUUUGGGGAAAUGCUAAAGAUGCUUCCUCCCUUUCUUUUACAGAACUGUUUGUGUGUGGCUGAAGAAAGACAGUGGUCAGUAUUGGCCUAACACAUACCACCCCCUGCCUUGUAAGUAUUUGCAAUACUUGGUCCAUUUUAAUUCUCAGCUUUCAGGCCCACUCCUCACUUUUUCUUCAUCACCACUUCAAUAAUUAGCUGUUGAGAGUACAGUGUGGAUCUUCCAUAAUUCUGAUGGCAUUUAAAUACAUUGAACAUUUUAAAACAAGGGAUUCUGGCGU